ACAUGCAAGUCGAACGAGUUCUGAUUAUUGAAAGGUGCUUGCAUCUUGAUUUAAUUUUGAACGAGUGGCGGACGGGUGAGUAACACGUGGGUAACCUGCCCUUAAGUGGGGGAUAACAUUUGGAAACAGAUGCUAAUACCGCAUAAAUCCAAGAACCGCAUGGUUCUUGGCUGAAAGAUGGCGUAAGCUAUCGCUUUUGGAUGGACCCGCGGCGUAUUAGCUAGUUGGUGAGGUAACGGCUCACCAAGGCAAUGAUACGUAGCCGAACUGAGAGGUUGAUCGGCCACAUUGGGACUGAGACACGGCCCAAACUCCUACGGGAGGCAGCAGUAGGGAAUCUUCCACAAUGGACGCAAGUCUGAUGGAGCAACGCCGCGUGAGUGAAGAAGGCUUUCGGGUCGUAAAACUCUGUUGUUGGAGAAGAAUGGUCGGCAGAGUAACUGUUGUCGGCGUGACGGUAUCCAACCAGAAAGCCACGGCUAACUACGUGCCAGCAGCCGCGGUAAUACGUAGGUGGCAAGCGUUAUCCGGAUUUAUUGGGCGUAAAGCGAGCGCAGGCGGUUUUUUAAGUCUGAUGUGAAAGCCCUCGGCUUAACCGAGGAAGUGCAUCGGAAACUGGGAAACUUGAGUGCAGAAGAGGACAGUGGAACUCCAUGUGUAGCGGUGAAAUGCGUAGAUAUAUGGAAGAACACCAGUGGCGAAGGCGGCUGUCUGGUCUGUAACUGACGCUGAGGCUCGAAAGCAUGGGUAGCGAACAGGAUUAGAUACCCUGGUAGUCCAUGCCGUAAACGAUGAAUGCUAGGUGUUGGAGGGUUUCCGCCCUUCAGUGCCGCAGCUAACGCAUUAAGCAUUCCGCCUGGGGAGUACGACCGCAAGGUUGAAACUCAAAGGAAUUGACGGGGGCCCGCACAAGCGGUGGAGCAUGUGGUUUAAUUCGAAGCAACGCGAAGAACCUUACCAGGUCUUGACAUCUUUUGAUCACCUGAGAGAUCAGGUUUCCCCUUCGGGGGCAAAAUGACAGGUGGUGCAUGGUUGUCGUCAGCUCGUGUCGUGAGAUGUUGGGUUAAGUCCCGCAACGAGCGCAACCCUUAUGACUAGUUGCCAGCAUUUAGUUGGGCACUCUAGUAAGACUGCCGGUGACAAACCGGAGGAAGGUGGGGAUGACGUCAAAUCAUCAUGCCCCUUAUGACCUGGGCUACACACGUGCUACAAUGGAUGGUACAACGAGUUGCGAGACCGCGAGGUCAAGCUAAUCUCUUAAAGCCAUUCUCAGUUCGGACUGUAGGCUGCAACUCGCCUACACGAAGUCGGAAUCGCUAGUAAUCGCGGAUCAGCACGCCGCGGUGAAUACGUUCCCGGGCCUUGUACACACCGCCCGUCACACCAUGAGAGUUUGUAACACCCGAAGCCGGUGGCGUAACCCUUUUAGGGAGCGAGCC
rnacentral:rRNA from 1 species